CUAGUUGGUAGGGUAAGAGCUUACCAAGGCAUAGAUCGGUAGCCGGCCUGAGAGGGCACACGGCCACACUGGCACUGAAACACGGGCCAGACUCCUACGGGAGGCAGCAGUGGGGAAUCUUGCACAAUGGGGGAAACCCUGAUGCAGCGACGCCGCGUGAGCGAUGAAGCCCUUCGGGGUGUAAAGCUCUUUCGUCAGGGAAGAUAGUGACGGUACCUGGAGAAGCAGCUGCGGCUAACUACGUGCCAGCAGCCGCGGUAAUACGUAGGCAGCAAGCGUUGUUCGGAGUUACUGGGCGUAAAGGGUGUGUAGGCGGUUCUUUAAGUUCGCUGUGAAAUCUCCCGGCUUAACCGGGAGGGUGCGGUGAAUACUGAGGGACUAGAGUACGGGAGAGGAAAGUGGAAUUCCUGGUGUAGCGGUGAAAUGCGUAGAUAUCAGGAGGAACACCGGUGGUGUAGACGGCUUCCUGGACCGUAACUGACGCUGAGACACGAAAGCGUGGGUAGCAAACAGGAUUAGAUACCCUGGUAGUCCACGCCCUAAACGAUGCAUAUUUGGUGUGGGCAGUUCAUUCUGUCCGUGCCGGAGCUAACGCGUUAAAUAUGCCGCCUGGGGAGUACAGUCGCAAGGCUGAAACUCAAAGGAAUUGACG
rnacentral:rRNA from 1 species